UAUUGGACAAUGGGCGGAAGCCUGAUCCAGCCAUGCCGCGUGUGUGAAGAAGGCCUUUUGGUUGUAAAGCACUUUAAGCGAGGAGGAGGAGCUCUUGGUUAAUACCCAAGAUGCUUGGACGUUACUCGCAGAAUAAGCACCGGCUAACUCUGUGCCAGCAGCCGCGGUAAUACAGAGGGUGCAAGCGUUAAUCGGAUUUACUGGGCGUAAAGCGCGCGUAGGUGGCCAAUUAAGUCAAAUGUGAAAUCCCCGAGCUUAACUUGGGAAUUGCAUUCGAUACUGGUUGGCUAGAGUAUGGGAGAGGAUGGUAGAAUUCCAGGUGUAGCGGUGAAAUGCGUAGAGAUCUGGAGGAAUACCGAUGGCGAAGGCAGCCAUCUGGCCUAAUACUGACACUGAGGUGCGAAAGCAUGGGGAGC
rnacentral:rRNA from 1 species